UGUGGGUAAGGAUUAGGAUUUGGUCCACGAGGGCAGCAAUGGCGAUAGGUUAGGGCUUAGGUUACAGUUGGUGUCAGGGCUUCUGAGACGGAUGUCGAGACGUCAAAGGGUUAGGGUUGGGAUGAGUAGGGUCCAAAUUAGAGUUAGGGUUUAGAUGUGGAUGGCGAUUGGGAGAGUUAGGGUUAGCAUCGAGGUUUGGGCUAGGGCUAGGAUUGGGGUUAUGGAGAUGGGAAUGGCAACAGAGAAGUCUAAUAGAAAAUGAAGACAGGGAUAAGGAGAAGAGAGAAAAAAAAUGAGAUAGGGGUGUUGAAUCCAGAACCUGUAGAAGGAGAAGAGAGACGGGAUGAUGGAAGGUACCAGAGGC
rnacentral:lncRNA from 1 species